rnacentral:lncRNA from 1 species
GGUAUACGCGUCCAAUUAAAAAAGAAUUGAUUGAAAAAGAGCAGACCCACCAAGUCAUUGGAGGAUUUUCCCAUCUUCCAAACAAGCGAAAGCUCUCUCUCUUCACAUGGAGUCAUACAGCAUCAUGCCAAAGCUUACCUCUUUUUCUUUUCUCCACUUUUAUUGAUUCGCAGACCUCUCCAUCUACUUAGCUGAAAGAGAAUAAAACCAAAACCCCAUUUGUCUGUUUAGAGGUAGGUGUAGGUACCUUUGAAUUGCCUCAUCAAAGCGUCCAUGGGGCUUCACUUGUUGGCUCUUGCCAAACUCAAGCUCUUGUCCAGUUCUCACAGCUGUAGUCCCUUGGUCGCCAACCUCGUCUGGCCUUUCUUGAUCAAGCUCUCCUACAGCUUCAGAUUCGUUCAUGGAGCUUACGCUGAUGUGAUCCAUGCAUCAAGGCUCUUCUUCUUCCAACUGCGUCAGAUCACCUUUGAUCCUCAGCAGGAUGAUCUCGGCAAUGGCACCAGAUUGGAGAGAGCCAUCCGGUUGGUCCAUCGGAGGCUGACCCGUUCAUCACGCUCCCAGAUGGACGAUGAAGAUAGCUUGCAUACUCUCUCUAUGCUUGCACUUUAAGCCUACGAAUUCAUGAUCCAUCUUUAUCUCUAUCAUCAAAGGUAUUUGUCUUCUGUGUUCUUGAUGAAUUCAUGGGUUUUGUUUAUUUUGGUUUAUACUUGUGAUCAAUAAGAGGUUAUUGGAAGUGAUGAAGUGGAAUUUGUUUUUAAAUGUAUUUGAUAUAUAAUCUACAUAUAGAAGGAAAGACAGCAGAUCAUGUUGUGAAGUUUAUUCAUUUAGUAACAAAGCUUUGCCCUAGAUAUGUAUGUCUGAGGCUUGCCCUAUAUAUGUCAAGGGACAAAGGCUGGUGCUUGAUAUAUUUAUCUAUGAUUUGUGCUAUAUAUAUUCAGAAUCAAACAACAAAAAUUAUAGAUCAUGAUGGAAGAUCCUAAUUAAAUUCAGCUGCAUAUGUAGACUCUGGGUUUCUUGGACAAGGUGUGGGUGGGGUUCAUUACAUGAUAAACCCUUUAUAUCCCAUGCCCAAAAUCAAACUGCAAAGAGAAUUAAAAAACACUGAACUGUUUUCCCCAUGGGAAAAUUUUUGUUGUCGAUUAAUACAUNNNNNNNNNNNNNNNNNNNNNNNNNNNNNNNNNNNNNNNNNNNNNNNNNNNNNNNNNNNNNNNNNNNNNNNNNNNNNNNNNNNNNNNNNNNNNNNNNNNNNNNNNNNNNNNNNNNNNNNNNNNNNNNNNNNNNNNNNNNNNNNNNNNCUAUUUUCAUUCCCUUUUUAGUUAUAAUUACAUUGUUUGGAAGUCUCCAAGAGGCUUUACCAUUCAUGAUGUGAUCGAUAUAUUGAAACAUUUUGCAUUCUUAAGUAACUGGAUUUACUAAAGGGGUUAAAAUACUUUUCGAUUAUUUUGCUUUUCUUCUCCUUCUGCGUCCACGGGAGUAAGGAAUAAGAUUUUUUUUUUUAUACCUCAAAUUAGGAUUAUAUAAAAAGGUAUUUAUACUAAUCCUUAGGUAAUAAAAUUCCAAAAAUACCCAUGAACCGUAUCAUCAACCCCUCCUACACCCCCAACCUAUCGUUUGCCCUUACCAAUAAAAAUACAAGCUUGAAUGACAAAUGUCACCGUUUCACUUCACUAUUUACCCCUUUUCUCCAUAUAUGUCUUUCCCUCAAUAUAAACCACAUACUACAACAAUUUAGAUGAUCCAUUUUCUGCACGUAAAUAAUUUCAUCAAGCAAAUAUCAAAUUUGUUAUUUUCUUUGUAUGCAUACUCCAAGAAGAAGGAAAAUAAUGAAGCUUUUUGCCAUCAAGAAAAAUAUAUCCAUGCUUUUCUAAAGCAAUAUAUAUUUUCUAUAGCCAUUCAUUGUAUAUAUUUGAAGGAUAAGUUGACACUUUUAGAAAGCAUGAUCUAUGGUGAACAUUAACAUUUUGAUCAAGGUAUAUCUUUUUGAAAAGUGCCAGCUGUGACCCAUUUCCUAUAAUUAAGCUCACUUGAAGCAUGCAUUGUUGUGAGAUAUAUAUAUAUAAAAGCUAUGGGCCGUAAAAUCCUUUCCUGCACUCAAGCGUUAUGUGGCACAACAUGAACCUAGCUAGAAUCCUUAUACUAAAAUUCAAUCUUUAAUUUGGUCACUAGCUACCCCAUUUCUUUUGAAGCUUACCAGUGAUCGAACAGGCCUCCUUGGAUUUGUGUUGCCACUGAGACACAUGCCCAACUGAGAAGCAUUUUGACAAAGAAAGCAUUUUUCUUUGCAGAAUAUAUAGGGUUAAUUAAGUUUGUCGAGAAAGAUAGUACGCACAAUGCAUGGCACAUACUCUCUACAUAUCUGGCAAUUAAUAUAGUCCCAACUCCAAUCUGCAAUCCCCUCGUCAUCAUCCUUAAUUCCUACUCCUACAACUCCUGCAGUUCUACCAGCAAAAAGUGAUCACUUCUGUUGAUUCAAAGCUUAAUUAUUCAUACACUCCAACAAUGUUAAUGGGUAGUUUCUACAUCUCCCUGUACACACAUACAUAUACAUAUAUAUAUAUUAGAUAGGUGGACUAACCAACUCAUUUUUUGCUACUUGUGACUACACUUAAUUGGUAGAAAAUAUUCUCUUCCAUCAUAUGAAACUGCUAUUAAUUAGUAUGGUUUUGAAUGGUUACUCUUAAAGUCNNNNNNNNNNNNNNNNNNNNNNNNNNNNNNNNNNNNNNNNNNNNNNNNNNNNNNNNNNNNNNNNNNNNNNNNNNNNNNNNNNNNNNNNNNNNNNNNNNNNNNNNNNNNNNNNNNNNNNNNNNNNNNNNNNNNNNNNNNNNNNNNNNNNNNNNNNNNNNNNNNNNNNNNNNNNNNNNNNNNNNNNNNNNNNNNNNNNNNNNNNNNNNNNNNNNNNNNNNNNNNNNNNNNNNNNNNNNNNNNNNNNNNNNNNNNNNNNNNNNNNNNNNNNNNNNNNNNNNNNNNUAUUUGCAUUUUCUGCUCGAGUUGAAGCCAAACAUGGGUCCCUGGGCAUUUCAGACUAUAAAGCUAUGUUAAUACUCAAAAGGUUUAAAGGAAAAUAUGAGGAAAAAAAAAAAGGAAAAAUAAGAAAUAUAUUUAAAUUUAAUAAAUUAUUUUUAUAUACUACUUAAAAAAAAUUUCAUUUAUUUGACUCUUUUAUAGAAAAAUUAAAAAUUUUAAAAAUAUACAAAUUUUUUAAUAAUUUUAAUUAUAUUUGACAUUCUUUCAUAUUUUUUUAUAGCAAAACUAAACAUUUUUCUUAACAUCUUUUCUCUUUCUUAGUAUUUUCUGGGAAUCAAAUAUAGUGUAAAGAUUUUGUGAAGUAAAAUAAUAAAAGACACUCGAAAAGAUUCAAUGAUAUAAAUUUUUUUAAUAAACAAAAAUUGAGAACAUUUGCAUAUUUUAUCCCGUGAAACAGUUUAAUUAUUUGAAAAUUGUUUAUUAUCUAAAUUCAACUUUGUUGUUCACCGGAUGGAUUGAACCCACUGACAAUUUUGCAUUCAAGAGUGCGUCAAAAAUAGUAACCACUGAGAAUAUACAAAUUGAAUCAGAUAAGGAUUAUUAGGCCUGGGGUAAGGUAACCCCAAGCCCACAGGGACAAUCUACAUAAUAUAGAUUGGGCCAAAUCAUCCCAGAAAAUCUACAAUGGGCCUGAAAUCUAUCUGGCCAAUUGUCGGCCCAUGUGAAUUGUAGCCUCAAAAUUAUAAAUUGAAGAAGGCCCUUAUAAAUUGUGCCCUUGGUAGAUAUUCGUUUUGGUUUCUCCUUUUGACAUUUUUGGGGUGGGAUUGGACUUUGGUGCUUACAGUCAUGAUAUGUAUUAAUUGGGGAUGUCCAAAAUUUUUCAACAUUUAGAUUUAAGUGGUCCAAGUAUGCAAAAAUUGGAAAGUGGUAGCAAUUAAUGUAAGUAUGACCAUUUUAUUAUGCCUCAAAUGUUGAAGCAAAAUAAGAAAUCAUACCAAGCAAAUCAAACCCUAUUUAAGAUCUGGAGCAAUAGUUUGUCCUUUUGAAGAAUAUUGUUUAAUCGUGAAUGAGGAGUUUUCGGAGAAUUUAUCCAACUCGAUGUACUAAAUCAACUUAAUAUGAUUCAAUUAUUAUAUUAAAGUUAAUAAGCAUAUUAAAUAUGUUUACUUAUAGAUCUCAUUUAUUAUGUGAUCAACUGACAUACUUUAAUUCUAACAAAUUCAAAUGAACACAUUAUUUUAAUUUCAUGAGAUAUUAUGAUGUCUUUAUUGAAAAUAUCUAUUAUCAUUAGCUUCUAUAGUGAUCUAAUUCAUGAAAAUAUAUGAUCAUUUUAGGGUCUUACCCAUAGGUCUAAGCUUAUUACCGAUUUUGAUAUAGACUCAGUAUCCUUCUAAGGUUGAAAGUCCAUACAGUAUAAUAACUUAAUGAAUCAUGAUAAUAAAUAUUGUAAUUUAAAAUUGAUAAAUCAACUUAAUGAAUUAAUGUAAUUUAAUAAAAAUAUAAUUUAAUUUAAAGUCACUUUAAGUCAUUAAGCAUAAUUUGUUGAUAAAUUAUUUAAUAGUAGGAAAAAAAUGGGCAAAAAGCAUCUAGGUAAUGUUUGGAAUAUUGAAAAAAAAUGAGAAAAAUAGAUCAAUCAUACUCUAUUUAGAAUUUUUUUUUUUAAGAAAAAACAAAGAUAGAUAAUUUUUUUUUAAAAAAAAAUCAUUAAUAGUUGUCAUCGGUUUCUUUAUUCCAUUUCCACUGAUUUUCAUUUUAUUUCCUAACUAUUCAACUCCUGUACGACGUGUUUGGUAGGUAGAAUAAAAAAUCUCUUUCUAUGUUUUUUUAAUAUUAUAUUUAAUUUUAAAAGUUUUCUUUCAAUUUCAACUUCUCAAUUAAUUUUAUUUAUUUAUUAGAAGAUGGAAUAUUUAUGCAAAAUAGUUUAUUUUGUGAGUCAUGACAAAUAAAUAAAUAAUCUUAUAUUUAAAAAAUUAUCAACAUUUAUUUAUUAUUAAGUUUGAUGCUAUCAUUAGUUGUCAUCGGUUUCUUUAUUCCAUUGUCACUGAUUAUCAUUUUAUUUCCUAACUAUUCAACUCCUGUAGUAGUACCUGUUUGGUAUGCGAGACUACAAAAUCUCUUUCUAUGUUUUUUUAAUAAUAUAUUUAAUUUUAAAAGUUUUCUNNNNNNNNNNNNNNNNNNNNNNNNNNNNNNNNNNNNNNNNNNNNNNNNNNNNNNNNNNNNNNNNNNNNNNNNNNNNNNNNNNNNNNNNNNNNNNNNNNNNGAAUGUAAUUUAUAAAUAAGUGAAGUAAAUUUUAUUUAUGUAAGGAGCAAACUUGUUUACAACAUUAGACAAAAUUAAGUUAUAUUUUGUUUUAUACCCUAUUAUAUCAUAAUGAGAAAAUAAAAACUUAGGAAACAAAGUUUUGACUAAUUAGAACUCCUAUGUUACCUUCCUUAAUUUCAACUAUAAAAAUAUAAUUACCCCAUUAUUAUUAUUAUUAUCUUGAAUAAUGUUUUCACUUUUAUAAAGGCUUUUGUAAUUUGAAUUUUAGAAGAAUAAAACUCAAGUAUGAUUUCUUUGUCUCCAUAUUGUUACACAAAAUGUUUCAAGACAAAAGUAGUUUAGAGUUAGUUGAGAUUAGCUUUAGAAUUAGUUGCGUAGUUUAGAGUUAGUUGAGAUUAGCUUUAGAAUUAGCUGAAAAACAUUAGCAGUUAAAUUGUUCAACCAUUUGUAAUUUUCUUUAUAUAAAGGUAAAGAAAGAAAGAACAAAGUAUGAUCAAUUAUAUUUCUCUUUUGCGACUUUUAUCGUCAUUGUUCUACUUUGUUUUUCACUCUUAGUAGCUUAUUUCCUUUGUUCAAUUCCAAUGUUUGUUAUCAUCAUCAAACAUAACUUUAUAGAUAUCAAAGUCAUAACAACAUUAAGUAUAUCAAGCUUAAGCUCCACAACUUCUAAUCAACAGUUGAUGAAUUCUACAUCCUUAUUCUCCAACUCAUUCAACUGUACUCUACUAGUCAAAAGCUAGAUCAAGGUAACUAUUUGAUUUGAAGUCUCAAAUAUUGUUGACAAUUUGAGUAUAUGAUCUAUGUGUUUCAGUUCAAGAAAUUUGUUGAGAAUCUACUUGAAGUAAAGAUUAAAGCACUCUAAGUCAAUAUGGGCAAUGAGUACAAACUACUGACACAAAUUCUUAAUGACAUCGGUAUAAUGUUGUGAUAGUUGUGUCCCUAUAUGCAUCAACAAAAUGGUUGUAUUGAAUGAAAGUACAUGCACAUUGUUGAACUGGGCUUGACAUUGUUGGCUUAAGCCUUCAUGUUGCUUAGUUUUUGGUGGGUUGUUUUUAGUAUUGUAGUUUAUUUAAUCAACGAGUUACCUUCAGUGAUACUAAGUAACCAAUCUCAUAUGAGGAAAUUGUUCCAUUAAGAACCUGAUUCCUCUUUCCUAAGUUGUUUUGGUUGUGUUUGCUUUCUACAUAAAAAACCAUGUAAUAAAAUCAAAUUUGAUUUCCAUUCAUUCAAAUGUGUGUUUGUGGGUUACAAUAAUAUACACAAGGGGUAUAAGUGCUUCAGUCUCUCAAGAAAAAUUUAUAACAAUGUGGUUUUUUAUGAACAAACAUUCCCUUUCUCCACGACAUUCUCAUUCCUUUUUACAUCUGGCUCCAAUAACAAAACUAUGAGUUUAGCCUAAGUUUCAUGUCUUUCUAUGAUAUUAUCUCAAUUCAUCAAACUAAAAACAUCGAUUAUUUAAAAAGAUAGCCUUAAAUUAUGAAACUUGUUCCUCUAAAAACCAGUUUGCAACUCGCACUCACAAUGGAAGUUUAAACGACUCAACUCCUUGUGACUUAUGUAUGGAUUUGCCUAUUCCUACAUCCAAUACAUAUCUAAUGACAAUAAGAUUAAAGGUAGAGAUAUUUAAACCAAAGUUGUUCACAACUGAAAGCACCGAAUAACAACUUGAGAGUGAACCUAAUAGUGUUAUAAAAGCAUUAAAAUCUAAUAAGUAGAGAAAAAUUAUGGAAGUAGAGUUUUAAACACUAACUCAAAAUCAAACUUGGUCCUUAUUACCUUGCCUUCCAUACUACAAUGUUGUUCACCAUAAAUGGGAUAUAAGUUAAAAAAAUAUAACCUAGAUGGCUCAAUUCAACGUCACAAGGCACGUGUCGUAUGAUUAAGAGGAUUUCAUCAAACAUUAAGAGUCGAUUAUUUGGAAACAUUCAACCUUAUCAUAAAGUCAAAUUCUAUACAAAUCAUAUUGACUAUAACAAUUGAUUGUAUGUGCUCGAUAACCAUUGCAUGCUUGGUUCGAAAAACUACUAUUAGGAUUUCAAAAGCUUGAAGUCUAACACAUCCUUGUUCAUAUGUAGUAAAGGCUACAACUCUAUAUUUCUACUUAUGUAUAUAAACAAUAUUCUCAUCGCCGGUAUUAACCCUAACUUGAUCACAAGACUUAUCCAUGGCAUCAAUUUCUCAUUUUCACUAAAGAACUUAGGAGAUUUGCAUUAUUUUAAUGGAAUUAAAGCAUUUCGAGAUUCCAUAGGACUUUAUCCAACUUAGUCCAUAUAUAUAAUUGAUUUAUUAAAAUGAACUAACAUGAAACAAACUAGUAAUUGUCUUAUACUAGCAAGUAUGGGUCUACAACUAUCUAGUUCUAGUGGAUAUAAGGUGAAUGGUGAGUAUAUCGUGGUAUUGUUAGGAUAUUACAACAUCUUAAGAUUACUAGACCAUAAUUAUCUUACAUUGUAAAUAAAUUGAGUCAGAUUUUGUAUUGUCCCACUAAUAUGCAUUGGAAAGCUUGUAAAUGAGUUUUUAGAUACUAGCAUCGGAAUAUUAAUCAUGGCAUGUAUAUUCAACUAGCUUCUAAGUUGAGUCUCACUAGUUUUCCAGAUGCAAAUUAGGCUAGGUUUGUUUAUGAUUGCAUGUCCACUAACAGCUUCUGUGUUUUUCUUGGUCCUAACAUUGUCUCAUGGAGUUCACAUUAUAAGCAAAAGGUUACUACAAGGUUAAGCAUCGAGUCUGAAUACAAAGCAUUGGGUCACAUGGUAGCAGAGGUAAACUGGUUAAAAACCUUACUAAAAGAGCUACAAGUGCCUAGUUCUUCAUGUCCUAUAAUUUGGCGUGAUAAUAUUGGGGCAAUUUGCAUUGUUGCAAACCUAGUUGCACAUGCUGGCACCAAACAUAUCAAAGUAGAUAUCCAUUUUGUGUGUGAGAAACUGCUGCAAAAAGAGUUAAACAUUCAAUAUGUACUUAAAGAAGAUCAAGUAAUUGAUAAACUAAUAAAGCCCUUGUUUAUAUCCCAAGGUCAAGCUUAACUAGUACUUAAGAACUUCUCAAGUAUGUUUCAAAUUAGAAUGCAUUUGAUACAAUCACACUACUUAACUAGUACUACUAACUUUAAAAUGUGUUUACAUAAUUAAAAAAAAUCUAAAAACACAUUGGUCAAAACCUUUUUUCUUUGAUAGAAUAUAACAAUCAUCAUAUACAAACGUAAUAUCCUCGCAAUAUUCCACUUGAUUAUGGAUUAUUUAGACAACAAACAAUUUUUACGGAGCCAAACGAAGUUUCACAAGAGGGUUGAUUUUGAUAUCAAUUUUUAUAAUGGACUCAUUUUUAUAUGAGGUAUUAUCCGUUACAAAAUUAAAACACAUGAUGGUUAAGAAAAGUCAUAUACUAUUUCAUACAUAAAUUUUUUCUAUUUAAAAAAUAAUAAUUUGAACAAUUGCUUCCCAUAUUUUGUUUGGAGGAGCUAAUUUCAUCCAAAAGUCCAAGAAACUUUUAAAAGAAAGUCCAAAAAGUCUUGUUUGAUCAUAAAUCUAAAAAACCAACAAAAUUUUUUUUUGUAAUUUUCAUCUGAAUUUAAUCCUAGUGACCAAAACUACAAUUUAAACUUCUUUAAAAAUUUGUCUGUCAUUGCAUAUUUUAUGGGGGGAAUUUUGAGAAGUAAGGUAUUGAAAGGAUAACUCAAUACACUAUUGCGUUCUCAAGUCUGAAACUCCCAUUGAAGAGGAGCGUUUACGGGAUUAAAAUAUUUAGCACUAAAAUAUUAAAGUGUUUUUAAAGCAAGAAAGAGCUAGAACUCCAAAUGCAUUUAAGACAAACGAAGUUGAUAAGUGGCUCAUUUUAUAUUGUUAAGAGGCUUGGAGCCAUUACCUAAUUUCACGUUAGAGUGUGUUGUGAGUGGUUUUAGGAAGUGUUUUUAGUUUUUUUAAUUCUUAAAUUUUUUUAUCUUUUAAACAUAAAAAAAUUAAAAAUAUUUUCUAAAAUUAUUACCAAAUACAUUCUUAAUCUUACUAAUACUCCACCUAAUUAACAAAAAGAAUUAUAUUAGUGGGUGUCUUUUUUAAUUUGAUUUUUUUUAUAUUUAUGAAAAUAAGGAAUCGUUUGGUAGCGUUGUUGCGAAUCAUUCUCAAAAUACAAUUUUUGAAAACAAUGUUUAAAAGCUUUUUAAAAAAUGUAUUUUUAUACACUCAUAUAAAAAUAAUUAUAAACUAGAAACCAUUUAAAAAUAAUUCAAGUUUUAUAAUUAUCAAAGAUAGUACCUAACUACCUAUAUCAUUAAAAGGUAUUUGAACGGUUGAAGGAAAUACAUUUAACAAAAAAAAUAAAUAAAAUGCUAAUUAUUUUUAGAUAGUUGUUUAAAAUUUAUAUUUUAUAAACUUAGGUUAUCGUUCUAUGUCUUUUUUUUUUAUAUUAAUAUAUGGAAACAAUUUUUUCCCUAAAAACUUUAUAUUUUUUUUAUUUUUAAGAAUAAAAUUUUAUUUGACAACUUAAAAUAUUUUUAUUUUAUAUUUAUAAUUUUAAAUAUUUUUUACAAAUAACUUUGUUUAUUAUAUUAUAUUUUUAAUUAUUUUUUAUAUUUAUGUAAUUAUUUUUUAAACAAUGUUAAAAAAAAAUUGAAAACAUAACUAAAAUACCCUAUUAAAAAGCACCAUGUUUUUUUUAAUAAAUGCUGACAAACUAUUUUCUAUUAAAAUAUUGGUAAACGUAUUAUCAAAACUAAAAAACAUUUUUUUGCUUUUAGGUAUGAAAAACUAUUUUUAAAAAUAUAGAUAUGGAACAUGUGGAUGAUCGUAUAGUCGUAUAUAUUGCAAGUCCUACAAAGUUUUGUUUGUAAUUGUAAAGUUGUUAAUUUUCUUAUUAUUGAAAAUAUAAAGAAAAUUUUUAUUGAUUUUUANNNNNNNNNNNNNNNNNNNNNNNNNNNNNNNNNNNNNNNNNNNNNNNNNNNNNNNNNNNNNNNNNNNNNNNNNNNNNNNNNNNNNNNNNNNNNNNNNNNNUUUAUGAUAAUGCAUCAAGUUUGAUAAUGAAAACUAUAAUUUAGUUUUGUUUUACAUUUGAAUGUUAAAAUUUGAUAUUUUAAAAAAAAAAAUAUUCAACAUCAAUAGAUUCAAUACCUUCAUUAAACUUAAUCAUUUCUGAAAUAAAUAUUUUAAAUUUUGAAAAAUAUAAAUGUAUGGAACAAGCAAUUGAGAACAAUUAUUUCUACGACAUUACAUUAUUUUAUACUAAGAAUUAUAUUAUAGUUUGAGUAUAUACAACGUGGUAUGAAAAUGUCUAAAUAUUGUUCCAAUCAGUAAGUCUUUUCGUGCCCUAUAAACAAAUGGACUUCUAAGCUUCUCAAUUGCUAUAUAUUGAAAAAAUCAUAUGAUAAUUGAGUGAAAAAUAAUAAUAAUAAUUAAUCAAAUGAAAAUUGAUAGAAUACAACGCUUUUAGGUUUCGGAUUAACAUACGAGAUAUUCAAUAAUCUUUAUAAAUAAUUAAUUUUCUUAUCCCAAAUCGUGAAUAUAACAAUGAUUUGAAUUUAAGUGACCUUGAUCAUUUGAUCGUGGACAUUUUUUUUAAUAUUUUAUUUUAUUGUUUUAUAUUGGUUGCUGGGCCAUAGGUUUUGUCCGUUAUUCAUAAUUAUGGGAACGGGGUUCAUCCGUUUCAAUGGGAUCAUGCUGUCAAUCAAGGUGGUGGAAAUAUCUAAAAUAAUUAAAAGGAAAAUCAAUGUACCAUUUUGAUGCUUACAUUAUCAAUCAUAUGGGAAAAUUAAAGGGAAAAAACGAGAAAAACACAAAUGAAAAAUUCAACACGAAAUCGAAAAGAAAAUGGCAACUCAAAAAUGUUUUUCUUAAAAAAAUAAAUGUAUGAAUUUUUAACUUUAAAAAUAAAAAUGACCAAGAAAAAUACAAAAACAAAUUGUUAUAAAUAAAUAGAAUUUUCACUUGCAAAUAAGAUAUUGCAUGAAAAAAAGAAAUUAAUUUUUUAAAUGAAAAUAAAUUUAGAGUUUUGAAAGUGAUUUUAGAAAAUAUUUUUAAUUUAAAAAGUGUUAUUUUAAAAAAAAAUUAUGGGUUAGUUUAAUAACUGUUUUUUAGGAUAGUUUUUGUUUUUCAAAACAAAAAAUAUAGAAAAUAUGUUUGACAAAAAAAAAAAAAAAACUAUUUUUUUUCCUUUUUGUUUUUGUUAUUUAGAACAAAAAAAAUGGUGUUUUCAGCUCUUUUAAUUAUUUUAUAUUGUUUUUACUUAUUUUCUGAUAACCGUUUUAAAAAAUAAUUAUAUAAAUAUGUAAAAUUAUUAAAAUAAAGUACUAGAUAUAAAAAUAAUUUUUAAAACAUAUUUAAAAAUAAUAAAAAUAAGUUAAAAAAUAUUUUAAGUUUUUAAAUAGAUUUUUGUUCUACAAAAAUUAGAUAAUGAUUUUUAAAAACGGUUCUUAAAAAUGAUUUUUCAGGAUUGUUUUAAAAAACAUCACUAAACAAAUUAAGAUUUGAUAAAUUUUAGAAAACACUUUUAAAAUUUUAAAAAAUUAUUUUUAAUAUUUAGAAAUCAUUUGUAAAUUUCUGUAAGUAAAGACGUGAUAAAUAUGUGAUUUUUCUAAAAACACUUUUAAACCUAACACUCACGGAGAAAUAGUAUGAAAGGCACUCUCAAUCAAUCAACUUUCACGGAGAAAUAGUGUGAAAGGCACUCUCAAUCAAUCAACUUUUAUAUCGUCCAAACAAUCCCCAGAGUAAGAUGGGGUCCAUCGUAAGCAAUACGGAUACUUGGAGAGGAUAUAAUUAAAAUUGAGACCAAUCAUACAAGUUGUCUGCAACUCCAUGCAAAUUCCAGGAAGCUUCCUCUCUAACAAUGCUGGCCCCCCUAUUCUUCUGCUCGAAGUCUAGAAUCCAGAUUACGACGGCGGUUUCAUAUCCCAUGCAUCUUUAUCCAACAAUAUUCCAAGACGUGGCUCUCAUAUUACUAAUUUUAAUUAUCAGUUCAUCCUAUAAUCAUUCACAAAAUUUUGUUUGAUAGUUUUUUAGAAAUCAUAAUUUUUGUUGAAUUUUAUAAAAAAAAAUUAUCACUAAUUUUAUUCAAACCAUUAAUAACUUAAAAAAAAAGCUUAUUGUAGACACUAAAAUAAUAUAGCUUAAUGCAUAAGUUUUGUUAACUUAUUGACGAAGUUAUUUUAUAUUUGAUAAAUUUUUAUAAUAUUAAUAUUAUCCUUUUAUUGUAUCUUUGUUAACUUAUCGACGAAGUUAUUUUAUAUUUGAUAAAUUUUUAUAAUAUUAAUAUUAUCCUUUUGUUGUAUCUGAUAAUGACUUUAACUUUUAAUUUUAACUAAAACUAGAAAAGACAAAAUAAUAUCAAACAACCCACAUAGAAUAAUGAAAAAAAAAAAAAUCUAUAUGUUUUGAUUUUAAAAUUAAGGAGAAAUUGAGAUCGGUUUUGUCGUUUUUCAUUUUAUUUUCUUAAAAUUCUUAUGAAAUUAUCUAAAUUUGAAGGAAGCUCUAAGUUUUGAGGAUUAUACUUGUGAUGAAUAAUUAAUAUGCAUGAAAUUUGAAUAUCGCGGAUGAAGAGAAGAGGGUGGAUGCAAUAAGAUUAAUGUUUUAAUUAAAAGGGAACCGUUUAUGGGGAUUGUAGAGGUAUACGCGUCCAAUUAAAAAAGAAUUGAUUGAAAAAGAGCAGACCCACCAAGUCAUUGGAGGAUUUUCCCAUCUUCCAAACAAGCUCUCUCUCUUCACAUGGAGUCAUACAGCAUUAUGCCAAAGCUUACCUCUUUUUCUUUUCUCCACUUUUAUUGAUUAGCAGACCUCUCCAUCUACUUAGCUGAAAGAGAAUAAAACCAAAACCCCAUUUGUCUGUUUAGAGGUAGGUGUAGGUACCUUUGAAUUGCCUCAUCAAAGCGUCCAUGGGGCUUCACUUGUUGGCUCUUGCCAAACUCAAGCUCUUGUCCAGUUCUCACAGCUGUAGUCCCUUGGUCGCCAACCUCGUCUGGCCUUUCUUGAUCAAGCUCUCCUACAGCUUCAGAUUCGUUCAUGGAGCUUACGCUGAUGUGAUCCAUGCAUCAAGGCUCUUCUUCUUCCAAUUGCGUCAGAUCACCUUUGAUCCUCAGCAGGAUGAUCUCGGCAAUGGCACCAGAUUGGAGAGAGCCAUCCGGUUGGUCCAUCGGAGGCUGACCCGUUCAUCACGCUCCCAGAUGGACGAUGAAGAUAGCUUGCAUACUCUCUCUAUGCUUGCACUUUAAGCCCACGAAUUCAUGAUCCAUCUUUAUCUCUAUCAUCAAAGGUAUUUGUCUUUUGUGUUCUUGAUGAAUUCAUGGGUUUUGUUUAUUUUGGUUUAUACUUGUGAUCAAUAAGAGGUUACUGGAAGUAAUGAAGUGGAAUUUGUUUUUAAAUGUAUUUGGAUGUAUUUGAUAUAUAAUCUACAUAUAGAAGGAAAGACAGCAGAUCAUGUUGUGAAGUUUAUUCAUUUAGUAACAAAUCUUUGCCCUAGACAUGUAUGUCUGAGGCUUGCCCUAUAUAUGUCAAGGGACAAAGGCCGAUGCUUGAUAUAUUUAUAUAUGAUUUGUGCUAUAUAUAUAUUCAGAAUCAAACAACAAAAAUUAUAGAUCAUGAUGGAAGAUCCUAAUUAAAUUCAGCUGCAUAUGUAGACUGUGGGUUUCUUGGACAAGGUGUGGGUGGGGUUCAUUACAUGAUAAACCCUUUAUAUCCCAUGCCCAAAAUCAAACUGCAAAGAGAAUUAAAAAACACUGAACUGUUUUCCC